rnacentral:rRNA from 1 species
CGGUCCAGACUCCUACGGGAGGCAGCAGUGGGGAAUAUUGCACAAUGGGCGCAAGCCUGAUGCAGCCAUGCCGCGUGUGUGAAGAAGGCCUUAGGGUUGUAAAGCACUUUCAGCGAGGAGGAAGGCACCAUACUUAAUACGUGUGGUGAUUGACGUUACUCGCAGAAGAAGCACCGGCUAACUCCGUGCCAGCAGCCGCGGUAAUACGGAGGGUGCAAGCGUUAAUCGGAAUUACUGGGCGUAAAGCGCACGCAG